UAAUACGGAGGGUGCAAGCGUUAAUCGGAAUUACUGGGCGUAAAGCGCACGCAGGCGGUUUGUUAAGUCAGAUGUGAAAUCCCCGGGCUCAACCUGGGAACUGCAUUUGAAACUGGCAAGCUAGAGUCUCGUAGAGGGGGGUAGAAUUCCAGGUGUAGCGGUGAAAUGCGUAGAGAUCUGGAGGAAUACCGGUGGCGAAGGCGGCCCCCUGGACGAAGACUGACGCUCAGGUGCGAAAGCGUGGGGAGCAAACAGGAUUAGAUACCCUGGUAGUCCACGCUGUAAACGAUGUCGAUUUGGAGGUUGUGCCCUUGAGGCGUGGCUUCCGGAGCUAACGCGUUAAGUCGACCGCCUGGGGAGUACGGCGCAAGGUUA
rnacentral:rRNA from 1 species